rnacentral:rRNA from 1 species
AACGAACGCCGGCGGCGUGGAUUAGGCAUGCAAGUCGAACGAGAAUCUGGAGGUUCAAGUUUUCGGACAAGAACUUUCGGAGGAAAGUGGCGGAAGGGUGAGUACAACAUGGAUAAUCUACCUUCAAGUUGGGUAUAGCUUCCCGAAAGGGGAGAUAAUCCCGAAUGUGGUGAUCCGGCGCCUGUCGGAGAAUCCAAAGGUGGGGACCGCAAGGCCUGCCGCUUGAAGAUGAGUCCGUGCACUAUCAGCUAGUUGGUGAGGUAAUGGCUCACCAAGGCGAUGACGGUUAGCUGGUCUGAGAGGAUGGUCAGCCACACUGGGACUGAGAUACUGCCCAGACUCCUACGGGAGGCUGCAGUCGAGAAUCAUUCGCAAUGGGCGCAAGCCUGACGGUGCGACGUCGCGUGGAGGAUGAAGGUCUUCGGAUUGUAAACUCCUGUCAUGUGGGAUAAAUGGCCAGGGCAUGAAUAGUGCCUUGGAA